rnacentral:snRNA from 1 species
GUGCUCUCUUCAGCAGCACAUAUGCUAACAUUGGAAAAAUACAGAGAAGAAUAGCAUGGCCCCUAAUAAAGAAAAAAAAGAAUGCAAGACAGUACAUGGACAUUAAC